rnacentral:lncRNA from 1 species
CUUCUUCUAAGAAGAGGUAAUGGUCCUUUGACGCCAGUAGAAAGGAGAGGCUAUUGAUAUUUUUUUCCCAUCUUUCCUUCUUUUCCUUCUCUUCUUUUUUUUAAAGAUUUUAUUUAUUUAUUUGAGAAAUAGAGAGAGAGUGAGAGAGAGACCACAAGCAGGGCGGGGGGGCAGAGGGAGAAGUAGGCUCCCCAUUAAGCAGGAAGCUGGACAUAGGACUUGCUCCCAGGACCCCCAGGAUCAUGACCUGAGUUAAAGGCAGAUGCUUAAUCGACUGAGCCACCCAAGUGCCCCUUCUCUUGUCUUCUUUCUCUGUCCCUCCUUCCCUCUCUCUUCCCCCACAUAAUCACUUCCAUCCUGACGCGGUGAGCUCUGAUGCUCUAUCUGGCACCGUACAAAGCUCUUCUUACACAGAUUAUCUCAUUUGCUUCUCACAAAAACCUUCUCAGGUGGGUCCUGUUCAUACUACCUUUUCUAGAUAAGGAAACUGAAGAUUAGCAAAAGUCCCUAGCUGGCUCAAAGCUGAACAGUUAGCUUCUACCUCUCAAUCCCCUCCCAUUCCAUAGCAUCCACUGCGCAGGAAAACUGGAUCUAAGGUGGCCAGUGACGCGCUCCUGUCUCGAAGAGAAGUGGCUGGGAGCUGAGGGAAGAGGAAAGCUCUCCUGGCUGUGAGCAAUGAGCCAUGGCUUCCCGCAGACACCGUCAGAGCUGCACCUAGCCCUAGACCUUGGAUGGAGAUGGCAGGGAAGGCCCUUCAUGCAGAGAAAACCAAGUCAGCAAGCUACACUGUUGCUCGAAAGUCAACGAGGGUGUCUUUACGGCUUCUUUAUGGCAAGAGAGAAUGGAGAGAGAGCACGAGGGGCAGAAGGAGAAGCAGACUCCCUGAUGUGGGAAGCCUGAUGUGGGAUUCGAUCCACCAACCCUGGGAUCAUGACCUGAACAGAAGGCAGACACUUCACUGACUGAGCCACCCAGGUAUCCCUAGCUUUAUGUUUCAGUAAGAGCCAUGAGCCUGACUUGGCCCCUACAAUCUCAUAGAAAAUGUUUCAUUUCCCCCUACCCUUUCCCCCCAAGCCCAACAUUUUCAAAGAG